rnacentral:rRNA from 1 species
GUGGGGAAUAUUGGACAAUGGGCGAAAGCCUGAUCCAGCAAUGCCGCGUGAGUGAUGAAGGCCUUAGGGUCGUAAAGCUCUGUUGAAUGGGAAGAAAAAAAUGACGGUACCAUUCGAGGAAGGACCGGCUAACUUCGUGCCAGCAGCCGCGGUAAUACGAGGGGUCCUAGCGUUGUUCGGAAUCAUUGGGCGUAAAGGGUGUGUAGGUGGCCAUGUAAGUCAGGUGUGAAAGCCCCGGGCUCAACCCGGGAAGUGCACUUGAUACUGCGUGGCUUGAGUACCGAAGAGGGUAGUGGAAUUCCAGGUGUAGUGGUGAAAUACGUAGAUAUCUGGAGGAACACCGGUGGCGAAGGCGGCUACCUGGUCGAGUACUGACACUGAGACACGAAAGCAUGGGGAUCAAACAGGAUUAGAAACCCCGGUAGUCC